GACGAACGCUGGCGGCGUGCUUAACACAUGCAAGUCGAACGGAAAGGCCCUGCUUGCAGGGUACUCGAGUGGCGAACGGGUGAGUAACACGUGGGUGAUCUGCCCUGCACUUCGGGAUAAGCCUGGGAAACUGGGUCUAAUACCGGAUAGGAGCUAUUUUUAGUGUGAUGGUUGGAAAGUUUUUUCGGUGUAGGAUGAGCUCGCGGCCUAUCAGCUUGUUGGUGGGGUAAUGGCCUACCAAGGCGGCGACGGGUAGCCGGCCUGAGAGGGUGGACGGCCACAUUGGGACUGAGAUACGGCCCAGACUCCGACGGGAGGCAGCAGUGGGGAAGAUUGCACAAUGGGCGCAAGCCUGAUGCAGCGACGCCGCGUGGGGGAUGACGGCCUUCGGGUUGUAAACUCCUUUCGCUAGGGACGAAGCUUUUUGUGACGGUACCUAGAGAAGAAGCACCGGCUAACUACGUG
rnacentral:rRNA from 1 species